ACUCUAAGCGGUGGAUCACUCGGCUCAUGGGUCGAUGAAGAACGCAGCAAACUGUGCGUCAUCGUGUGAACUGCAGGACACAUGAACAUCGACAUUUUGAACGCAUAUCGCAGUCCAUGCUGUUAUGUACUUUAAUUAAUUUUAUAGUGCUGCUUGGACUACAUAUGGUUGAGGGUUGUAAGACUAUGCUAAUUAAGUUGCUUAUAAAUUUUUAUAAGCAUAUGGUAUAUUAUUGGAUAAAUAUAAUAAUUUUUAUUCAUAAUAUUAAAAAAUAAAUGAAAAACAUUAUCUCACAUUUGAAUGUGAAAAACGAAGAGAAAUAUUUUCUUUUUCAAUCAAAUAAUACUGAGAAAUGUCUAGCAUAAAAAAUUGAAAUAUUUUUCAUCUAGAAUUGUCUCUUAUUAAUGAUUCGGAAAUAGAAAAAUCUUGGUUAUGUUAUUAUUCUUCGUUGGUUCGUUAAAAAUGGAUAAAUAAAAACUUUGCAUACAAGAAUUAAUAAAAAAUGUUAUAACGAAUUUAAUUAAAUGUUUUAUCAUUAUAUAUAAAGAAUUUAUGGCAAGAUAAAGUUAUAUACAACCUCAACUCAUAUGGGACUACCCCCUGAAUUUAAGCAUAUUAAUUAGGGGAGGAAAAGAAACUAACAAGGAUUUUCUUAGUAGCGGCGAGCGAAAAGAAAACAGUUCAGCACUAAGUCACUUUGUCUAUAUGGCAAAUGUGAGAUGCAGUGUAUGGAGCGUCAAUAUUCUAGUAUGAGAAAUUAACGAUUUAAGUCCUUCUUAAAUGAGGCCAUUUACCCAUAGAGGGUGCCAGGCCCGUAUAACGUUAAUGAUUACUAGAUGAUGUUUCCAAAGAGUCGUGUUGCUUGAUAGUGCAGCACUAAGUGGGUGGUAAACUCCAUCUAAAACUAAAUAUAACCAUGAGACCGAUAGUAAACAAGUACCGUGAGGGAAAGUUGAAAAGAACUCUGAAUAGAGAGUUAAACAGUACGUGAAACUGCUUAGAGGUUAAGCCCGAUGAACCUGAAUAUCCGUUAUGGAAAAUUCAUCAUUAAAAUUGUAAUAUUUAAAUAAUAUUAUGAGAAUAGUGUGCAUUUUUUCCAUAUAAGGACAUUGUAAUCUAUUAGCAUAUACCAAAUUUAUCAUAAAAUAUAACUUAUAGUUUAUUCCAAUUAAAUUGCUUGCAUUUUAACACAGAAUAAAUGUUAUUAAUUUGAUAAAGUGCUGAUAGAUUUAUAUGAUUACAGUGCGUUAAUUUUUCGGAAUUAUAUAAUGGCAUAAUUAUCAUUGAUUUUUGUGUUUAUUAUAUGCACUUGUAUGAUUAACAAUGCGAAAGAUUCAGGAUACCUUCGGGACCCGUCUUGAAACACGGACCAAGGAGUCUAACAUAUGUGCAAGUUAUUGGGAUAUAAACCUAAUAGCGUAAUUAACUUGACUAAUAAUGGAUUAGUUUUUUAGCUAUUUAUAGCUAAUUAACACAAUCCCGGGGCGUUCUAUAUAGUUAUGUAUAAUGUAUAUUUAUAUUAUUUAUGCCUCUAACUGGAACGUACCUUGAGCAUAUAUGCUGUGACCCGAAAGAUGGUGAACUAUACUUGAUCAGGUUGAAGUCAGGGGAAACCCUGAUGGAAGACCGAAACAGUUCUGACGUGCAAAUCGAUUGUCAGAAUUGAGUAUAGGGCGAAAGACCAAUCGAACCAUCUAGUAGCUGGUUCCUUCCGAAGUUUCCCUCAGGAUAGCUGGUGCAUUUUAAUAUUAUAUAAAAUAAUCUUAUCUGGUAAAGCGAAUGAUUAGAGGCCUUAGGGUCGAAACGAUCUUAACCUAUUCUCAAACUUUAAAUGGGUAAGAACCUUAACUUUCUUGAUAUGAAGUUCAAGGUUAUGAUAUAAUGUGCCCAGUGGGCCACUUUUGGUAAGCAGAACUGGCGCUGUGGGAUGAACCAAACGUAAUGUUACGGUGCCCAAAUUAACAACUCAUGCAGAUACCAUGAAAGGCGUUGGUUGCUUAAAACAGCAGGACGGUGAUCAUGGAAGUCGAAAUCCGCUAAGGAGUGUGUAACAACUCACCUGCCGAAGCAACUAGCCCUUAAAAUGGAUGGCGCUUAAGUUGUAUACCUAUACAUUACCGCUAAAGUAGAUGAUUUAUAUUACUUGUGAUAUAAAUUUUGAAACUUUAGUGAGUAGGAAGGUACAAUGGUAUGCGUAGAAGUGUUUGGCGUAAGCCUGCAUGGAGCUGCCAUUGGUACAGAUCUUGGUGGUAGUAGCAAAUAAUCGAAUGAGACCUUGGAGGACUGAAGUGGAGAAGGGUUUCGUGUGAACAGUGGUUGAUCACGAGUUAGUCGCGUCCUAAGUUCAAGGCGAAAGCCGAAAAUUUUCAAGUAAAACAAAAAUGCCUAACUAUAUAAACAAAGCGAAUUAUAAUACACUUGAAUAAUUUUGAACGAAAGGGAAUACGGUUCCAAUUCCGUAACCUGUUGAGUAUCCGUUUGUUAUUAAAUAUGGGCCUCGUGCUCAUCCUGGCAACAGGAACGACCAUAAAGAAGCCGUCGAGAGAUAUCGGAAGAGUUUUCUUUUCUGUUUUAUAGCCGUACUACCAUGGAAGUCUUUCGCAGAGAGAUAUGGUAGAUGGGCUAGAAGAGCAUGACAUAUACUGUUGUGUCGAUAUUUUCUCCUCGGACCUUGAAAAUUUAUGGUGGGGACACGCAAACUUCUCAACAGGCCGUACCAAUAUCCGCAGCUGGUCUCCAAGGUGAAGAGUCUCUAGUCGAUAGAAUAAUGUAGGUAAGGGAAGUCGGCAAAUUAGAUCCGUAACUUCGGGAUAAGGAUUGGCUCUGAAGAUUGAGAUAGUCGGGCUUGAUUGGGAAACAAUAACAUGGUUUAUGUGCUCGUUCUGGGUAAAUAGAGUUUCUAGCAUUUAUGUUAGUUACUUGUUCCCCGGAUAGUUUAGUUACGUAGCCAAUUGUGGAACUUUCUUGCUAAAAUUUUUAAGAAUACUAUUUGGGUUAAACCAAUUAGUUCUUAUUAAUUAUAACGAUUAUCAAUUAACAAUCAAUUCAGAACUGGCACGGACUUGGGAAUCCGACUGUCUAAUUAAAACAAAGCAUUGUGAUGGCCCUAGCGGUGUUGACACAAUGUGAUUUCUCCCAGUGCUCUGAAUGUCAAAGUGAAGAAAAGUCAAAAUUCAAGCCAAAUGCCUCGUCAUCUAAUUAGUGACGCGCAUGAAUGGAUUAACGAGAUUCCUACUGUCCCUAUCUACUAUCUAGCGAAACCACAGCCAAGGAACGGGCUUGGAAUAAUUAGCGGGGAAAGAAGACCUCUUUGAGCUUGACUCUAAUCUGGCAGUGUAAGGAGACAUAAGAGGUGUAGAAUAAGUGGGAGAUAUUAGACCUCGGUUUGGUAUCGUCAAUGAAAUACCACUACUCUUAUUGUUUCCUUACUUACUUGAUUAAAUGGAACGUGUAUCAUUUCCUAGCCAUUAUACGGAUAUAUUUAUUAUAUCUUAUGGUAUUGGGUUUUGAUGCAAGCUUCUUGAUCAAAGUAUCACGAGUUUGUUAUAUAAUCGCAAACAAAUUCUUUAAUAAAACGAUGCAUUUAUGUAUUUUUGAUUUGAAAAUUUGGUAUAACUCCAAUUACUCAGGUAUGAUCCAAUUCAAGGACA
rnacentral:rRNA from 1 species